CCAAACCCAAGUAGCGGCGCCCAGCUACUGUUAUUCUUCUCCAACCAGUGAUUCAACCCCAACUUGCCUGAAAACUCAGGCGAGUUCACUCACACGCACCUUAUCUCACCACGUCAGCAAGAUUCUAACGGCCUCUGACAAACAAGAAGGUUCCUUCCGAAUUUUUCACUUGCUCUUUAGCUCUUGAGCGAUAUUUUGGACGAAUGGGAGCCGUGAAUGGACGAAAAUCAAUCCAUGCCCUCCAUUUGUCCCUAAAUCGUUCACGAAAGAUUGAAAGAAUUUUCAAAUUUUUAGAGGAAGGUUCGAGAAAAUCUUAAGGUCUACAUAAGGUGAGGACGUUUUCUUAUGUGGUGGGGGGGGGGGGGUGAUUUUUGGAGAAAAUUUGUAGAAGUUCUUUUUUCAGAGAAUUGUUUCGGAAAAAUUGAAAGAAAAAAAAAUUAGGUUUCAAAAUAUUCUUCUUCUUCUAAGGUUCUUUUUCGUUUCUGGUCUUGGGGAGGGAAAAAAUUUCGAAGAAGAAAAUAGGAAGAAAGAAUUAUGUCUUGGUUUUUUUUCUUCAGAUUUUGUUCUUCUUUUUGAGUUUGUUUUCUGAUUAGUCAUAUUAAAAAAAAUACACAAAAAAGGAGUGAUUUUUUUGGUUCUACUGUUGUUUUUAAAAAAAGGGUCUGUUUUUUCCGUUUUCAUUUUUUUUGGAUUCUGUUUGGAAUUAUUGGAGUUCGAUCGAAUUUACUUUGGUUUCGAGUUUUUCUGGUGCUGUUUGGAGAUUUGUUCGAGUUUCAAGCACUCUUCGUUUCUCUUUGUUGCGCGUAAGUCUUGCGCGAAUUCCAGUUCGGAUGUCAUCUUCUCGUUGUAGUUCCGGCCCGACACGUUAAUUUGUUGAAGUUUUGUUGUUCAAAUAAAAGAUUACACUUUAACUUUACUUUUUGUUUCCCGAUUUUUUCCGGAUUUAUGUCACAAACGUUUGUAUAAUAUGUUUGAUGGUCUUUGUUUCUGAUAUACGAUUAUGUGACUGCCUUUUUUUGGUUGAAUGGAUAAGUUUAUUUCAUUCAUGUAUGAACAUUUGAGCAUUGAAAGGCUGAAGUUAUGUGUUCAGUAAAAAAUACUAUGGUUUUCUGAUUUUUCUUUAAUGAUGGAUCAUACUAUUGUUUCUGAGUUAGGGUUUUGAUUUUAAUGGGUAUAAUUGAUUUACCUUGGAGUCACAUAUUUGAUCCUUCCCUUCUAAGUAAGUAGCACCCUUUUGUGACCCUUCUGUAUUGGAGAUCUGCAAAAUAGCCUUUAAACUGAUAAGUAUAUGGUAGUUAGCUUCUAGUGACUUCUGGGACUUUGUUUAACCCUUUGAGCUGAGUCUAUAUCAUGAUGAUUGUGUUUUCCCUUAAAGUUUGCUGGAGUAAAAUAGUGGGAAGUAGUUUGGUUUUCAAAUUUGGCAUCAAUAUUAACAUCUCUCUGAAUUCAUUUAGUCAUCCCUUGACCUCGCGUUAGAAGAAAAUUUCUGACCAAAGAAAUAGGGAAAGAAAUCUGAAGUUCUGAUUUUGUAGUUCUAUUAGUAAGAUAAUAUUUUGCUAAUUAUUUUCUCAUUCUGAUUCCAAGUAUUUGCUAAGGGUUGAUAUAUUUGGAUAGUGUAGUUUCCCUUGGUUCAGGUGUAACCUCUCCGUUGUCUUCAUGUAAUAAUUGGCAAGUUACAGCUGACACAAUAAGGACAAUUGAAUGAAUUUAGCGCAUAUUAAAACGUUUGUUGAUGGCAUGAAUUUAGCCCAUGUACAGAUUUUAUGGGCUUGGACAUCAAUUUUCUCUGCUG
rnacentral:lncRNA from 1 species